GAUGAACGCUGGCGGCGUGCCUAAUACAUGCAAGUCGAGCGAACGGACGAGAAGCUUGCUUCUCUGAUGUUAGCGGCGGACGGGUGAGUAACACGUGGAUAACCUACCUAUAAGACUGGGAUAACUUCGGGAAACCGGAGCUAAUACCGGAUAAUAUUUUGAACCGCAUUGUUCAAAAGUGAAAGACGGUCUUGCUGUCACUUAUAGCUGGAUCCGCGCUGCAUUAGCUAGUUGGUAAGGUAACGGCUUACCAAGGCAACGAUGCAUAGCCGACCUGAGAGGGUGAUCGGCCACACUGGAACUGAGACACGGUCCAGACUCCUACGGGAGGCAGCAGUAGGGAAUCUUCCGCGAUGGGCGAAAGCCUGACGGAGCAACGCCGCGGGAGUGAUGAAGGUCUUCGGAUCGUAAAACUCUGUUAUUAGGGAAGAACAUAUGUGUAAGUAACUGUGCACAUCUUGACGGUACCUAAUCAGAAAGCCACGGCUAACUACGUG
rnacentral:rRNA from 1 species